GGGGGCAACCCCUUGAGAGUGGCGAACGGGUGAGUAAUAUAUCGGAACGUGCCCAGUCGUGGGGGAUAACGUAGCGAAAGUUACGCUAAUACCGCAUACGAUCUACGGAUGAAAGCGGGGGAUCGCAAGACCUCGCGCGACUGGAGCGGCCGAUAUCAGAUUAGGUAGUUGGUGGGGUAAAGGCUCAUCAAGCCAACGAUCUGUAGCUGGUCUGAGAGGACGACCAGCCACACUGGAACUGAGACACGGUCCAGACUCCUACGGGAGGCAGCAGUGGGGAAUUUUGGACAAUGGACGCAAGUCUGAUCCAGCCAUUCCGCGUGCAGGAUGAAGGCCCUCGGGUUGUAAACUGCUUUUGUACGGAACGAAAAGGUCUCUCCUAAUACGAGAGGCUCAUGACGGUACCGUAAGAAUAAGCACCGGCUAACUACGUGCCAGCAGCCGCGGUAAUACGUAGGGUGCAAGCGUUAAUCGGAAUUACUGGGCGUAAAGCGUGCGCAGGCGGUUAUAUAAGACAGAUGUGAAAUCCCCGGGCUCAACCUGGGAACUGCAUUUGUGACUGUAUAGCUAGAGUACGGUAGAGGGGGAUGGAAUUCCGCGUGUAGCAGUGAAAUGCGUAGAUAUGCGGAGGAACACCGAUGGCGAAGGCAAUCCCCUGGACCUGUACUGACGCUCAUGCACGAAAGCGUGGGGAGCAAACAGGAUUAGAUACCCUGGUAGUCCACGCCCUAAACGAUGUCAACUGGUUGUUGGGUCUUAACUGACUCAGUAACGAAGCUAACGCGUGAAGUUGACCGCCUGGGGAGUAC
rnacentral:rRNA from 1 species